GCCCCGAUGGCGAAAUUGGUAUACGCAAGGGACUUAAAAUCCCUCGUCCGACAAGGACUUACCGGUUCGAGACCGGUUCGGGGCACCA
rnacentral:tRNA from 1 species